GAUGAACGCUGGCGGCGUGCUUAACACAUGCAAGUCGAACGAAGCAUUUAGAACAGCUUACUUCGGUUUGAAGUUCUUUAUGACUGAGUGGCGGACGGGUGAGUAACGCGUGGGUAACCUGCCUUUUACUGGGGGAUAGCAGCUGGAAACGGCUGGUAAUACCGCAUAAGCGCACAAUGUUGCAUGACAUGGUGCGAAAAACUCCGGUGGUAUAAGAUGGACCCGCGUCUGAUUAGCUAGUUGGUGAGAUAACAGCCCACCAAGGCGACGAUCAGUAGCCGACCUGAGAGGGUGACAGGCCACAUUGGGACUGAGACACGGCCCAGACUCCUACGGGAGGCAGCAGUGGGGAAUAUUGCAAAAUGGAGGAAACUAUGAUGCAGCGACGCCGCGUGAGUGAAGAAGUAAUUCGUUAUGUAAAGCUCUAUCAGCAGGGAAGAUAGUGACGGUACCUGACUAAGAAGCUCCGGCUAAAUACGUG
rnacentral:rRNA from 1 species